UCCUCCCUCUUUCUUCGUGCUUAACACAUGCAAGUCGAACGGAAAGGCCCAGCUUGCUGGGUGCUCGAGUGGCGAACGGGUGAGUAACACGUGGGUGAUCUGCCCCUAACUUCGGGAUAAGCUUGGGAAACUGGGUCUAAUACCGGAUAGGACAAUCGUUUAGUGUCGGUUGUGGAAAGUUUUUUCGGUUAGGGAUGAGCCCGCGGCCUAUCAGCUUGUUGGUGGGGUAAUGGCCUACCAAGGCGUCGACGGGUAGCCGGCCUGAGAGGGUGGACGGCCACAUUGGGACUGAGAUACGGCCCAGACUCCUACGGGAGGCAGCAGUGGGGAAUAUUGCACAAUGGGCGCAAGCCUGAUGCAGCGACGCCGCGUGGGGGAUGACGGCCUUCGGGUUGUAAACCUCUUUCGACAGGGACGAAGCUUUGGUGACGGUACCUGUAGAAGAAGCACCGGCUAACUACGUG
rnacentral:rRNA from 1 species